rnacentral:rRNA from 1 species
CUAACCUGCCCCUUGGUGGGGGACAACAGUUGGAAACGACUGCUAAUACCCCAUACUCCUUCUUACUCUAAGGUAAGUCGGGAAAACUCCGGUGCCAAGGGAUGGGGCUGUAUCCUAUCAGCUUGUUGGUGAGGUAAUGGCUCACCAAGGCAAUGACGGGUAGCUGGUCUGAGAGGAUGAUCAGCCACACUGGAACUGAGACACGGUCCAGACUCCUACGGGAGGCAGCAGUGGGGAAUAUUGCACAAUGGGGGAAACCCUGAUGCAGCAACGCCGCGUGGAGGAUGACGCAUUUCGGUGUGUAAACUCCUUUUAUAAGGGAAGAUAAUGACGGUACCUUAUGAAUAAGCACCGGCUAACUCCGUGCCA